CAAGCGAAUCCCAAAAAUAAACGUCCCAGUUCGGAUUGCAGUCUGCAACUCGAGUGCAUGAAGCUGGAAUCGCUAGUAAUCGCGGAUCAGAAUGCCGCGGUGAAUACGUUCCCGGGUCUUGUACACACCGCCCGUCACACCAUGGGAGUCGGGAAUGCCCGAAGUCAGUGACCCAACCGGAAGGAGGGAGCUGCCGAAGGCAGGCUCGAUAACUGGGGUGAAGUCGUAACAAGGUAAC
rnacentral:rRNA from 1 species